CUUGGUUGUGAGAUUCUUGGAGGAUAAAGAAACAGUUCUUGGUAAAUAUUUCUCAUGUUCUGAGAUCCUUCAGAGGACUUGGACCAGGAUCUGCUCCAAUGUUCACCAUCCUGCCACAACCUAUCUCUUCUUCCUCUUUGUGGACAUCCUCAUCCUCCUCUCGGUGCCUGUAAACAAGAAUAAACAAAUUGAUGGACCUGCUACCUGUCCAGGUGUCCCCCUCCCCUCAGUGUGACUCAGCACCACUGACCCUGAAAGGAAGAAGUGGGUUAACUUCUAGGAUGGAUGGAAUGUUGAGAACAUUAUUUUAACAAGAGGAUGAUUUCAUUAUAAGAUGAGCAAAAUUCUUUAACUUGAAGAACCAGGAGGACCAUAUGUGUUCUCAUCGUCUGCAUUCCACCUCUGCAGCUAAACACAGAGUAAAAAUGUUCAGGAUCAAAACGUUUGAAAUGGAAUGCAGCCGUGGUUAAAACACCUGCAGUGACGUCUUCAGGACAAAAUGUCUGAACUUUGUUUUAACUCUUGAACUACAACAAUAAUGAGCUUGGAUUAUUUGAUGACAUAGCUACCUUUCAAUAAUUAUAGAUAAAUAUAUAUGUUUUACCUACAUCGUGUGGACCAUUUUCCUGGGGACCAAUUCUUGGUUCCCAAUGGUACGAAUGCACAUCACGGGGGUAGGUUUAGGACUAAGGUGUGAAUUCAGUUUAGGUUAGUUUCAGAGUCGGGUAGGUACC